UUACGGUCAUAUCACGUUGAAACAUCGGUUCCCGUACGAUCAGCGAAGUUAAGCAACGUCGAUUCUGGUCAGUACCUAGGAGUGAGCGCUUAGGAAUACCAGGUGCUGUAA